rnacentral:rRNA from 1 species
AGUGAACGCUGGCGGCAUGCCUAACACAUGCAAGUCGAACGAAUUUCAGCAGUGUAUCGCUGAGAUGAGUGGCAGACGGGUGAGUAAUACGUGAACAAUCUUCCUUCGAGAGGGGAAUAACUCCGGGGAACCGGAGCUAAUACCGCGUGAGACCACGUCCCGGCAUCGGGAUGGGGUUAAAGCUCCGGUAAGGGGCGCUUGAAGGAGGGGUUCACGGCCUAUCAGCNGUUGGUGAGGUUAAAGCUCACCAAGGCUACGACGGGUAAGCGGUCUGAAAGGACGAUCGCUCACAAUGGCACUGAGACACGGGCCAUACUCCUACGGGAGGCAGCAGUGGGGAAUUUUGCGCAAGUGGGGGAAACCCUGACGCAGCAAUGCCGCGU